UUUGGUGGCGAUAGCGAAGAGGUCACACCCGUUCCCAUACGAACACGGAAGUUAAGCUCUUCAGCGCCGAUGGUAGUCGGGGGUUUCCCCCUGUGAGAGUAGGACGCCGCCAAGC
rnacentral:rRNA from 1 species